ACACCUCAACUCUCAUGGCCUGCCAUGAUGAGCUUGGACUUUGGGGGUCUUGCCGGCGUACCGUCGGCUCCUCUCAAACCAAUCAGCUUGCCAGUGUUUGGUGGCGUCGCAGGUGUGAUAACUAUCUACGCUUGUGGUUUUCCACCAGGUAACCUUCGACAGCGGAGGUUCACUGGAGCUCAUAGAUGUCUCUCCUUAGCGAGGACAGCCCUUUGAAU
rnacentral:misc_RNA from 1 species